rnacentral:rRNA from 1 species
GUCUCUGGCCAUGCCACCCUGAACGUGCCCAACCUCGUCUGAUCUCGGAAGCUAAGCAGGGUUAGGCCUGGCUAGUACUUGGAUGGGAGACCACCUAGGAAGACCAGGUGCUAUAAGCA